CAGCGCCCCCAUUUUUCCUGCAGCACCCUGAUCUGCACUCCCUGAGGGGCUCCCACUGUCCGCGGUGUGAGGAUGUCCCUGGAAAUUGGUCUUCUGUGACUUUCUUGAUGGGGGCAGAUGAGAUCUUUGUACUGCAUUAAGUGGAUAGCGCUCAGGUCCUUUGGGCUUGGCGCUUUGGCAAUCUCCAGGCAGCUCACUUUGGCCUCUGUUCCUGGAUCCCCUUUGCUCUUUUCUGCGCCUGCAUUCAUAGUCCACUGUGUGCAGAGGCAUGGGAGUUGUCAUGUUGGGAACAUGCUAGACCUCAGUAUCCUUGAGGGAUGCUGCCUUGGGUCUGGAAACUGUUAGAGGAAACCCCAAGAGGUGCAGGCACUGAGCCUCUCAGGACAAUGACCUGGGGUCCCAGCUCCCCUGGAGGGGCCUCCUCAUGGUAAGUGAAUGCCAAGAGGUUAAGUUGGCCUGUGUUUCCGAGGUGGAAAUUCCAGGUCGCUGGCUUCAUUUGUCUUCUCUUUUAGAUUGUUUGGGGGUUGAUCACAGACCAAGAGUGACGAGUGAUGUCACCCUGUGACUCAUGGCUGGACCUUCUUGCCCCUAUUGUCUCAGCACAACAUUAUUCGACUUUUCCCUCAGCGUGGGUGGGCAGAGGAAAAGCCCUGUGGCUCUGGGGACUUGGGAUCCAGAGUUGAAGACCCUUCAGCUGGCUCUGCCCUGCCAGUGCCACAGAGUGCCAUGGCCCAGGAAGACAGGUUUUCUUCCAUCUAGGCCAGGCCAUCCAGUGGCCAUCCUCCGUGUCCUCCCGCCUCCUCCUGGUGUGACUUCUGAAAACCAAGAAUUUGUUCCUGUUGACUUUUUCUGUGCUAUGGACCAUUGUCCUCUCACCCACUCAAUAAAUCUUGAAACAUGC
rnacentral:lncRNA from 1 species